rnacentral:rRNA from 1 species
AAGCCUGAUGCAGCAACGCCGCGUGAGGGACGACGGCCUUCGGGUUGUAAACCUCUUUUAGUAGGGAAGAAGCGAAAGUGACGGUACCUGCAGAAAAAGCACCGGCUAACUACGUGCCAGCAGCCGCGGUAAUACGUAGGGUGCAAGCGUUGUCCGGAAUUAUUGGGCGUAAAGAGCUCGUAGGCGGUUUGUCGCGUCUGCUGUGAAAACUGGAGGCUCAACCUCCAGCCUGCAGUGGGUACGGGCAGACUAGAGUGCGGUAGGGGAGAUUGGAAUUCCUGGUGUAGCGGUGGAAUGCGCAGAUAUCAGGAGGAACACCGAUGGCGAAGGCAGAUCUCUGGGCCGUAACUGACGCUGAGGAGCGAAAGCAUGGGGAGCGAACAGGAUUAGAUACCCUGGUAGUCCAUGCCGUAAACGUUGGGAACUAGAUGUGGGGGCCAUUCCACGGUCUCCGUGUCGCAGCUAACGCAUUAAGUUCCCCGCCUGGGGAGUACGGCCGCAAGGCUAAAACUCAAAGGAAUUGACGGGGGCCCGCACAAGCGGCGGAGCAUGCGGAUUAAUUCGAUGCAACGCGAAGAACCUUACCAAGGCUUGACAUAUACGAGAACGGGCCAGAAAUGGUCAACUCUUUGGA